UGAAGAGUUUGAUCCUGGCUCAGCCUGAACGCUGGCGGCAUGGCUAAAACAUGCAAGUCGAGGGAGAAGGAGACUUCGGUCUCCGGAUACCGGCGAAAGGGCGAGUAAUGCGAUCGAACGUGCCCCGAGGUAGAGGAUAGCUGUGGGAAACUGCAGGUAAUACUCUAUAAGUUCCAAGGAAGAAAGCUCCGGCGCCUUGGGAGCGGCGAUCGUCCUAUCAGGUAGUUGGUGGGGUAAAGGCCUACCAAGCCGAAGACGGGUAGCGGGUGUGAGAGCAUGGCCCGCCGCAUCGGAACUGAGACACUGUCCGGACUCCUACGGGAGGCUGCAGUAACGAAUCUUCCGCAAUGCGCGAAAGCGUGACGGAGCAAUGCCGCGUGUGGGAUGAAGCGGUUACGCCGUGUAAACCACUGUCAGGACUUAGGAAGAACUGACCGAGUCCAAAGGAAGGGCCGGCUAAUCUCGUGCCAGCAGCCGCGGUAAUACGAGAGGCCCGAGCGUUAGGCGGAAUCACUGGGCUUAAAGGGUGCGUAGGCGGAUCAGUAAGCAUUUUGUGAAAUCCCUCGGCUCAACCGAGGAAUUGCAGAGUGAACUACUGAUCUUGAGGUAGGCAGAGGUCAUCGGAACGUACGGUGGAGCGGUGAAAUGCGUAGAUAUCGUACGGAACGCCGAAGGGGUAGCCAGGUGACUGGGCCUUACCUGACGCUGAGGCACGAAAGCGUGGGGAUCAAACAGGAUUAGAUACCCUGGUAGUCCACGCCGUAAACGAUGUGCACUAGUUUGGUGGAGAUCUGACUCUCUGCCAGACGCCGAGAAAUCAUUAAGUGCACCGCCUGGGGAGUACGGUCGCAAGGCUAAAACUCAAAGGAAUUGACGGGGGCUCACACAAGCGG
rnacentral:rRNA from 1 species